UUUGAUUUCCUUGGCGGGCGGAAGCGGCCAGAACCAGACGAUUCCAAAGCUUACCAGGGGCUCUGGGCGCUCGCUGCUUCGCUCGGGACGGCUGGCCGCCUUCUGUGUGCUUCUACCCGGCCCCGCCCCCCCGGCUCUCCACCCCUCUGCCCCUCAGGUUCCUUUUGUGAUUUUGUAGAAACUUCCAGGAGGACUAUGAAAGAUUAUGAUGAACUUCUCAAAUACUAUGAAUUAUAUGAAACUGUUGGGACAGGUGGCUUUGCAAAGGUCAAACUUGCCUGCCAUAUCCUCACUGGAGAAAUGGUAGCUAUAAAAAUCAUGGAUAAAAAUGCACUAGGGAGUGAUUUGCCCCGGAUCAAAACGGAGAUUGAGGCCUUGAAGAACUUGAGACAUCAGCAUAUAUGUCAACUCUACCAUGUGCUGGAGACAGCCAACAAAAUAUUCAUGGUUCUUGAGUAUUGCCCCGGAGGAGAGCUGUUUGACUACAUAAUUUCCCAGGAUCGCCUAUCCGAGGAGGAGACCCGAGUUGUCUUCCGUCAGAUAGUAUCUGCAGUUGCUUAUGUGCACAGCCAGGGUUAUGCUCACAGAGACCUCAAACCGGAAAAUUUGUUGUUUGAUGAAUAUCAUAAAUUAAAACUGAUUGACUUUGGUCUCUGUGCAAAACCCAAGGGUAACAAGGAUUACCAUCUUCAGACAUGUUGUGGGAGUCUUGCUUAUGCAGCACCUGAAUUAAUACAAGGCAAAUCAUACCUGGGAUCGGAGGCAGAUGUUUGGAGUAUGGGCAUACUCUUAUAUGUACUUAUGUGUGGCUUUCUACCAUUCGAUGAUGAUAAUGUCAUGGCUUUGUACAAGAAGAUUACGCGAGGGAAAUAUGAGGUUCCUAAGUGGCUCUCUUCUAGUAGCGUUCUGCUUCUUCAACAGAUGCUACAGGUGGACCCAAAGAAACGGAUUUCUGUGAAAAAUCUAUUGAGCCAUCCCUGGAUCAUGCAUGAUUACAACUGUCCUGUUGAGUGGCAAAGCAAGAAUUCUCUUAUUCACCUUGAUGAAGAUUGUGUAACAGAACUAGCUGUAUAUCACAGAAAUAACAGGCAAACAAUGGAGGAUUUAAUUUCAUUGUGGCAGUAUGAUCACCUCACAGCUACCUAUCUUCUGCUGCUAGCCAAGAAGGCUCGGGGAAAACCAGUUCGUUUAAGGCUUCCUUCUUUUUCCUGUGGACAAGCCAGUGAUACCCCGUUCACAAACACCAAGUCAAAGAAUCUGAGUCUAGAAGAUAUGACAACAAGUGAUGAAAAUGAUGUGGCUGGAUUGAUAGACUAUGACUGGUGUGGAGACAGUUCAUCAAUAGGUGUGACCACCCCACAAACACCACAGUUUGCCAAGCAUUGGACAGAAUCAAAUGGUCUGGAAUCUAAAUCAUUAACUCCAGUAUUAUGCAGAGCAUCUGCCAAUAAAUUAAAGAACAAAGAGAAUGUAUAUACACCUAAGUCUGCUGUAAAGAAUGAUGAGUGCUUUGUAUUUCCUGAGCCAAAGACUCCAGUUAAUAAGAACCAGCAUAAGAGAGAAAUACUCUCCACACCAAAUCAUUACACUACACCCUCAAAAGCCAGAAACCAGUGCCUGAAAGAAACUCCAGUUAAAAUGCCAAUAAAUUCAGCAGGAACAGAGAAGUUAGUGACAGGUGUCAUUAGCCCUGAGAGGCGAUGUCGCUCAGUGGAACUGGAUCUCAACCAAGCACACGUAGAGGAUACUCCAAAAAGAAAAGGAACCAAAGUGUUUGGGAGCCUUGAAAGGGGGUUGGAUAAGGUUAUCACUGUGCUUACCAGGAGCAGAAGGAAGGGCUCUGCCAAAGAUGGGCCAAGAAGACUAAAGGUGAGGACGAUGUUUAAAUUUACUUGAAGGUCCUAUGAAGGGGAUGAAAAGUAAAUAACAGAGUGGGAACUUACCUACUAGAAAGAGAACAUGCUAACUCAAGCCCAAUGAGCCCUACUUGCUGCUCACCUCACCGCCAUGUGGCCUGCGCUUCUAGAAAAUCUCCCUUAACCCGGCUUUUCCUGGAUGUCUUCUUGACAGAACUCUGGGAGGCAGGAGCCUUCAGGAUGAGGCAUCGCAAAGAUGGCUCGUACCCAGACCGGUGACCUCCAACAGAGACACGCCAGGAAGGUGGAAGGGGCCGUGCGGCAGGAUCAUGUUCUGGACUGGAAAGUACGUCUGCUCAUUACCUGACCUUUACUAAGUACACCAACUAAUGGAGCGAGAGACGUGAAAGAUCUUCACAGGCCAUGUGGAAAUGUAAUUCAAACCCAGCUCGAGGAGGUCACCUGCAAAGACCUAAAAAUGAAUGAAAUACCAUUUUACACCUUGGAGGCCCCCAGUCCAGUCACUCUCAGAGGAACCUUUUCAGUGUUGCCAAAUGGACAUCUAUUCAGCUCCUCUUUCAGCCCACCUCCUCCCGGGACAGCUUAAUCUCUCUGUGGAAAAGGAGGAAAACGACAAACACGCCAACCUCCGAACCUGUUUGCGCAUCUGGGGAAGAUAGAGGCCCCUCUUCAGGGCUGUGGCAGCUAUACCUGGCGAGCUGACACAUCCUAACUGCUCAGCAAAGGCGAUGAUGACUGUUACCACAUCCUGUGCCUGCUUGUCGUUCCUGGGUGUCCCACAGCACCUCACAGACACCACUUGCUCGUGCAACCAUUGUCCUGAUAUGGUUUGCCUCCUCACUACCAGAGGGGGAGCUCCAUGAGGGCAGGGUUCAUAUUCCAUUCAUCUCUGUCCCCAGCCCUGGUGCCCAGACCAGACCCUGGCAUGGAGCAGAAAUCAAGGAGCAUUUAUUGGCUGGAGGAAGGAGAAAACAACAGGCAGUUCAUUUUAAAAAUGCAGACCUGAUGGUUCCCAGAAAUUCCAGUUGAUUCACGGUUUUUGACUGGAAUUGUAGUUUUCCCUGGAUUCAACAUUCAGCUGAACCCAAGGAGUGACAAGUAAACACAGGCACAGGUCACCAAAUCUUCAGGCCAUACAAGGAGUGAAAUUCCAGUCUUCGUUUCUUGAAAAUACCUCCAAACUUCCAAGGGAUGCUCUUGGAGAUAGGAAGCAGCAGUUCUGCCCCAGGACACCUGAACCUGCAUUUUGCCCAAGCUGGCCACCUGUUUCUGUCUCAGUCUUCUUAUAUUUGUACUGGAGGGAUGAAGGUAGGAGGAUGUUACUGAUAGUCAUUCUUUAAAUUGUCAUCUCUCAGGUAGCACUGUAGAAGGUGACUGGACCCAACUGGUAGAGGCUCCAAGAACUUUGGGUUUCAACUUUGGGUCUUGGCUGUGCAAUGUGGGGACAACAGGAAAAAUUCUACUAAGUCUCAGCACCUGAUAAACAGUGCUUAAUAAGUGCUAAUGGGUAUUAUUGAUCAGAGCUCAACUCGAAGAGUCUUGCAUUGAGAAGCAGGGCGGACCAGGAGUCAGAGUGGACCAGGAGCAAAGCUGCAGAUGACAAGCGGUGGGACUCCUUCAGUACCUGCAGGCCAGGAAUACACUUGUUCUCCAAACCUGGUGUCAGUUGGAGUCCAGGCGAGGGUAGGGCAAAGGUGAGGAGCGGAGAGGGCAGGACAUAUUCAUGCCAUUCUUUUGCUUCAGCCUGUUCAUCCUUCACUGCCUCAGAGGUGGCAGGAAAGAGCUGAGUGAAGCUGAGAUUGAAAUGCUCUGGAAUUCGUGGCGUCAUGAAGAUACAGCCUGGCUAACUAUCCCCAGACCCAUUUCCUCUUUUUCUUCAGCACACAGGUAGACUACAUUUCUCAGCCUGUCUUGCAGUUGGGUCUGGCCACAAGACAGAGCUGUGGCCGAUAGCAUGUGAGUGAAGAUGUCUCCCAUUUCCAGCCCUGCCCGUGGAAAUCUUCCAAGGCAUGAUACUCCAGAUGCUUAUCUUUUUUGCAGCCUUGAUGCAGACAAACAACUUUGGAGGCUACACAUAAAGAUGGCAGAGCCAAAAGAUACAAGGGACCUCGAUCCCUGAGUCACUUUGUGGAAGGCUGCCUCCCUACCAGGAACACCCACAUUUAACUGUCAUGUGAGUGAAAGGUGUAUGCUUUUGUGUGGAGACAUUUCAGUUAUAGGGUAUGUUUGUUGCAUCAGCUGGCACUGCCUUAUCGGACACACGAGUUCACAGAGCAAAUGAGAAAAUUAGCUUGCAUCCGCACUGUCCACACUGUAAGAAUUUCUACGAGUUUCAGGAAUGUAUCUGCCAUGCUCUACAAAGUACGCACAAUGUUUUAAUUCCACUUCACAGAAAGGUUUUCUUUCCAAACCCUCUUCAGGGGCCUUCCCUAUUAAAAAGUCCCAUUUAUAGAAACUACUACUUAGCAUUUUUGGAACUUGUUAUCCUAUUCAGCAGAGUCUAAGUCAGGAGGCUUUGAACUCGGACAAUUACUGCUCUUGAUUAACAACAAGAACUGAUGAGUUGGCCUUUCCAGUGUGCUAAGCAAACUCAGCCAAGCAGAAAAUAUCACUGAAGGGGAAACAAUGGGAAGUGAUUUUCUUGGUUACAUUAUGAGCCGUCGUGAUAUUUACACAUGUUUGUGGAUAAUGUGGGAAACUCUGCUGCUUGCGUGCCCUUGCAGAUGACACUGUUGGGCUUGAAACACCAUGUUUCCCACUUGAUCUGGGCUGCAGAUGUCAUCCUGCAGGCAGCCAGCCUAGUGGAAAAACCACAGACCUGGGAGUGGGCAGGUGUGGGUGCAGGAUACCUGAACAGCGUCUUUGGAGCACCUGUUCCUCCAGGUGUCCCUGGGGCCAGCACCCAGGCCUGGAGCCUCAUAUUGUCAGACAGCCCAGUGGCAGCAUAAGUGUCCAUUUCUUUAUACCCUUGACACAACUGGGUAUUUUAAUUUUUUUAAAUGUUUGUUUAUUUUUGAGAGAGACAGACAGACAGAAUGUGAGUGGGGGAGGAGCAGAGAGAGGGAGACACAGAAUCCAAAGCAGGCUCCAGGCUCUGAGCUCUCAGCACAGAGCCUGAUGCGGGGCUCGAACCCGUCAACUGCGAGAUCAUGACCUGAGCCGAAGUCAGACGCGCAACCUACUGAGCCACCCAGGCACCCCAACAGAACUGGGUAUUUUAAAAGAGAUCUUUGUGAAGUUGAGUCAUGUUGCUUUUAAUCCCAGAUUGCACAUUUACUUAUAUUUAAUAUGUCCGCAUUUGUGAGUGAUCUAUGUAAGUCCUUUAUCCAUUUCUCCUUUGGGGAUAGUAGUAGUUUUCAUAUCAUUGCAUACAAAAUUUUCAUUUAUUAAGGGCAUUGCACCUCUUCAUGUUACUUAGGUUUAUUUUUCCAAGUUAUUUGUCCUUUUUUUGUUCAUUUUUUGUGCAUUUAAAGUUAAAAAAAUUAAGUAGCCAAAAUUCUAUUUUUUCCAUCUUUUUAAGCUUCCAAAGUCACAUUUCAUAAGGAAGUUUGAGAUAUAUUCAUCUGUAAACCCUACUAGAUUUAUUUUAAAUAUUUAAAAUGUAACUGGUUAGGGACCCCUGGCUGGCUCAGUCAGUAGGGUAUGUGACUGUUGAUCUCAGAGUCGUGAGUUUGAAGUCUAUUUAAAGAAAAAAAAAAGUAACCCUUCAAUCCACCAGGGGCUUAUUUGAGUGGAAGAUGUGAGGUAAAGAUCUUCCUAGGGCUUCAGUAGGUUCCUUGAUAGUUCAUUUCUGCAUUCUACCUUUGUCUCAGUCUGCUCCAAGUCCUAUAACAAAAAUACCACAGAUUAUGUGGCUUAAACAACAAACAUUUAUUUCUUGCAGUGUGGGAGGCUGGGGAUCCAAGAUCAAGGCAUCAGCAGAUUUGGUAUCUAGUGAGGGCCUCUUUCCUAUGUCCAUAAGGGUGGGAGGGAUGAGGGAACUCUCCAGAGUCUCUUUAAAAGAGCACUAAUCCCAUUCAUGAGGGCUCCACCCUCAUGACCUAAUGACCUCCAAAAGUUCUCUUCUACUAAAACCAUCAUACUGGGGAUUAAGUUUCAAUAUAGGAAUUUUGCCUGGACACAAACGUUCAGUCUGCAGCAACCCUCCUCCUGAGUUUGGUAGUGAGCCUGGCUCAAAGAAGCUUCCGCCUAGAGUUUAACCUUUGGAUGUAAAAAUCUGGCUUCCUUACAAGUGAGGAAAGAGGUUGGCAAACUCACACUGGUCAUUUAGAAAAAAAUUUUGCACAGCACAUGUAUUCCUCACGUCUUCAAAAUAAAUGUUAUGAGAUUUAUACCCAUUGUGCAGAAGAAAAAAACCAAGGCUCCUAGAAGUGAGGAGACUCCUCAUACCAGCAAACUGACUCCCAAGAUAUAGAGCUGAGACCCAGCCCAGGCACUUAGGAGCCUUUAUCCUUCUGCCUUUUUCACAGCCCUGAUGCAGCCUGAUCCCUCCACGGAUCACCUCUUUACCCAGCACCUAGCAUGGUAGGAGCUUGGGGAACGAAUGGGCCUAAGGCUUAAGUCUCACAUGGCAGAUCAGCCAUCCCCCUCUCCUCCUCUUUGUGAUGGUCACUGAGGCUGCUGAAGGCUGCCUGAGCGUACUCAAGGUUGGCAUUUCCACCCUCCUAACUGGAGGCCUCGCCGUGGCCUCCUUUCUGCCGUCAUGUGGGGACUGCACGUGCCCGGGUUACUGCAUAUACUAGUGUCCCAUAGCUGAGGAGGGCAGGCUUGAGGCCCCUCUGUCCCAGGGGAGCCAGGAACGAGGGCCAUGGCAUCAGAGACAGAGGGGCCUGCUCUGAAAGGGUCCAUGUUUCAGUUCCAAAAUGCUGCCACUUGUCUUUGAAGCUCGAGCCCCUAUGCCUCGAGCGCUGGGAAGAAAGGAGCUGGGCCAGUGCUCCGCUGCACCAGCAUCCUUCUCUCUCCCUCAGGAAUCACCUUCGUCACCAUCCAUUGCCAAAAUGAAUGGAAGCUGCACAGCCGGCUUUAUUAAAUAUGAAUGAGUCACAGCCCACGGCCCCCACGCGGUCACUCACCCACUCCAUCUCUGGCAAUUACCGCGUCGCACACACUGUGCCAAGGGGCGCCGCGGUCCCUGCCUGCCCUUGCAGACUGACACCGCCCAGCAGGGGCAGGGCUCAGGUCUGCAGCUGCCCCUGAUGGAAAGCCACUCCUGGGCUCCUAUGCAGUCCAAAUGCUCUGCUCUGAAGCUAUAGGGAUAGGGCACCUUCCGCAGAAGGAUCGUGGACGCUUGGGCUCUGAGGUCUGGCUGGGGAUAGCCUGUGACUUUGGAGCCCAAGGUCUCCUGGCAUGACGGACUCCUAAGCUCUGUCUGCAUGUCAAGGGUGUGUGGGUAACAGAUAUUUUAGAUUUCAGGCAGUUUUAAGAUCCAGCCUGGAUCAAGGUUAAAAGCAUGUGUGCAAGGGCACAUGGUCACCGAGCACACGUGCAGUGUGUGUUCACGUUCCCCGCACAGGAGCCCAGUAGAUUGUUGAGUUUCAUGUCACUGGGGUCCUUGUUAACCCCGUCCACUGCUGUGUCCUCGGUGUUUGUUGAAUGAAUAAAUGAGGCAGAUGUUACCGACCAUUUUGGAGCUACUGAAGUUGAGUUACGGAACUCACCAAGGUUCCACGGCUGUGGAAUAUCAGAGCUAGGUGUCAAAUCCAGGGUUGGGCUCCAUCCUGCCAAGUGGCUGGUGGCUUGCCUGGGAACCCCUGCCCUGCCCAGGCCACGGUCCGAUGCCUCAACACAGCACUCUAGUUGCAUAGAUUUGUUUGACCCUGGUUUCAUCAGGAGAGCCAAUAAAGUUCCCCACAGCCCCAUGUGGCUUCGUCAAAGGUUAAAAACAAAUGCAAGUUGUACAAAGUUGUAAAAACAAAUGAGAUACAAUUCUUUUCCUGAACUUAAAAAAUUACUUUUAUUUUAGGAACCAAUAAAAUUAUGGCAAAUAUUUACAAAUAAUUAUCUCACAUAAAGGUUACAUAAAAUCAAUCCUUCACAAGUAACAGUCACUCAUGAAAAGACACACAGAUAUUGAAACUACGCCAAUCUUAUUGCAAGUUUCUCCAACUAAUCUAAAAGAAAAGUGUUGCAGUCAACCAUUUAACUUAGAAUGAAACCACAAAUUCCAAGUUUGACAAGAAAAAAAAGGUAAAAAAUGAAACCAAAAUCCCACCCCUGUUUUCUCCCAAGUCCCACCCCAAGCCCCUGCCCUCCUCCCAACAAAAGAAAAAUAUGUCCAACAUCUUUGGCAAAUCGGCACUGCUGUAAUUACAUUCAAAUAUUAUUACACACAAAAGCAACACACGUCACUAAGAAAAAAAAAACCACCAAUAUUUCAAGUCAGGUAUUUCUACUAGAAAAAAAGAAUACAAAACAUACACAUUUUUAAGAAGCAUUUUUUUUUCAAUCUGUUGGAGACAGAUCAUCUCCUACUUUCAAAGGCAAUUCAAUUGUGGUUUUUUGUUUUUUUGUACUUUUUUUGUACUUUUUUUUUUUUUUUUUUUUACAAGUAAGCGUCUAU